AUCUCGUUGGGAGUUUUCUGCCUGUGUGAGGUUUAUAUUGGCCUUCCUGCAGUAAGCAAACUACCGGUUUGGAAGAAAUGUUCCUCAGUCAUGUAACAGAGUUUCCCUUGCUCCAACUUGGCUCCACUGCAUCCUCGUCCCUUCUCUGUGCACCUCCAAGGGCAGUCAACUUCUCAUUUUGGAUGGUAGAAAGGUCUCUACAUACAAAUAUCAGUGUGUCACUGGAGAAAUGUCCUCAACUGAUGCUGGAUCAAGAAUCACUCCAGUAAAUGUUGUCUUACUUCUCCUAUAGUCCCAGCCAGUGAUGAAUCCAUAUCCUCAGUGGUGUUAAACUUGAACUAAUCUGCUUUCAUCUGCUCAGACUACUUAAAUUUUUUGUUUGAAGAAAUCAAAUUAUUAUCAGUUCCAUGAACUGAACAGUUUCCAGGCCUUGCAAGAGAAUUAGGACCAAGCUUCAUCUCAGAAAAUCCUGAGGAAAAUAACAUGUCACCGCUGUCCUUAGUGCCACAGCGAGGUACUCUGAGGCAAUGCUCCCAGGCAUUAGGAGAAAAAACAUGUGAGGGACAGUGUUGGGCAUGGUUUAUGAAAAUCUGAAGAUAUUAUGAAUGAGAAAUUCUAAAUUAAGGCAGAGUUUUUAUUUUAAAAUUGUCAAUAGUUUUGUUUCAAACUUUCGUGCCUUAAUCACAGUAAAUCUCUACAGAUUUUAUUUUAAAAUAUUACUUAGCAUCGCGAACUGAAUAUUGCUUGCAGAGCCCUGCAAGAAAAAUUUCUUCCUUAAAGAAGCUUUGAAUGAAAGUAGAAUGAGAUCUGUUUAGCAUUUGCCCUUUCACCAUCCAAUUUUUCCACGUGAAUUUCUGCAUAGAAAUACAGUCCUCAGAUUUAUCCCUUUGUCUGUCCCAAACUGAUUCCUCCUCAGUCAUCUUCCAUUAGCCUCAAAUGAGGGAUGCAUAAAAUUGAUGUCCAUAAGAAAAGUGAAGGGAAAGUAGUGUUCUGUUUUCUUUUCUAAGAAGCACCUGCAGUAGUUCAUCAACUGCUAUCUUGUCCCACUUCUGCAUCCUGGAAUGUUCACAUAGAACAGACUCCAGUCACAACAAGGUAAAUACACUGGUUGAUCAUCUAAUUGUAUUUUAUAUACUGCAGGUAGUGCUCUCUUUAAAUAAUAAGUUUUAAAAGGUGAAAUGUUAAAACUUUUCCAACCUCUAAAAUUUCAGAUUUCCAUUUUUUUUACUAUUAAAAGUUAUCUACUGAGGAAUAUUUGAUACAUGGUUGAUUUUCCUUUGCUACCAAAUUUUCCAUGAUUUUAAAGUGCCUCAUCCAAUCUCUGUAUUUAAAAUGACUCUUACCUUUUAGAUGUCUUGUCUGAAAAUUAUGUACUUGAAUGAUCCAAGACUCCAAAUAAUUAGUUUAGCCUUCUGUGAAAGUCUCAUUGCAUGCUAGCCACUGAGUCUCUGGUGGCAACUGUAUGGCUGUGCUAUAGGCGAAGACAGCAUCAGCAGGUCUGCAACUAAUCCACCCAUUCCUUAUUUUGAGGGUAGCAGCACAU